rnacentral:rRNA from 1 species
GUGGGGAAUUUUGGACAAUGGGCGCAAGCCUGAUCCAGCAAUGCCGCGUGCAGGAAGAAGGCCUUCGGGUUGUAAACUGCUUUUGUACGGAACGAAACGGUCCUGGCUAAUACCCGGGGCUAAUGACGGUACCGUAAGAAUAAGCACCGGCUAACUACGUGCCAGCAGCCGCGGUAAUACGUAGGGUGCGAGCGUUAAUCGGAAUUACUGGGCGUAAAGCGUGCGCAGGCGGUGCUGUAAGACAGGCGUGACAUCCCCGGGCUCAACCUGGGAAUUGCGCUUGUGACUGCAGUGCUGGAGUGCGGCAGAGGGGGAUGGAAUUCCGCGUGUAGCAGUGAAAUGCGUAGAUAUGCGGAGGAACACCGAUGGCGAAGGCAAUCCCCUGGGCCUGCACUGACGCUCAUGCACGAAAGCGUGGGGAGCAAACAGGAUUAGAAACCCUUGUAGUCC